GCGCUUUGUGGUGGUAGUGUCGGGGGUAGGGUGGGGCGGGCUGCAGCGCCAGAGCACAAGCUUGAAAAUAACUGGGGCCGCCUGCCUGCACUGUGGGUGGCUCUUUUAACCCCAGCAACACUG